CCUACGGGAGGCAGCAGUGAGGAAUAUUGGUCAAUGGACGGAAGUCUGAACCAGCCAUGCCGCGUGCAGGAAGACGGCUCUAUGAGUUGUAAACUUCUUUUGUACAAGGGUAAACCUAAAUACGUGUAUUCAGCUGAAAGUACUGUACGAAUAAGGAUCGGCUAACUCCGUGCCAGCAGCCGCGGUAAUACGGAGGAUCCAAGCGUUAUCCGGAUUUAUUGGGUUUAAAGGGUGCGUAGGCGGGUUGAUAAGUUAGAGGUGAAAUUUCCGGGCUUAACUCGGGAACUGCCUCUAAUACUGGUGAUCUAGAGAGUAGAUGCGGUAGGCGGAAUGUAUGGUGUAGCGGUGAAAUGCUUAGAGAUCACACAGAACACCGAUUGCGAAGGCAGCUUACCAAUCUAUAUCUGACGUUGAGGCACGAAAGCGUGGGGAGCAAACAGGAUUAGAUACCCCUGUAGUC
rnacentral:rRNA from 1 species